AGGGGCAGCGCAGUGUAGCAAUACAUGGUGCGGCGACCGGCAAACGGGUGCGGAACACGUACGCAAGCUUCCUUUAAGUGAGGGAUAGCUUUCGGAAACGAAAAUUAAUAUCUCGUAACAUUAUGAAGUGGCAUCACUUUAUAAUUAUAGCUCCGCGCGCUUAAAGAUGGGCGUGCGCCUGAUUAGGUAGUUGGCGGAGUAACAGUCCACCAAGCCUACGAUCAGUAACUGGUGUGAGAGCACGACCAGUCACACGGGCACUGAGACACGGGCCCGACUCCUACGGGAGGCAGCAGGAAGGAAUAUUGGUCAAUGGACGCAAGUCUGAACCAGCCAUGCCGCGUGGAGGAUGAAGGUCCUCUGGAUUGUAAACUUCUUUUAUCGGAGAAGAAACCCCAAUUUUCUUGUUGGGUUGACGGUACCCGAUGAAUAAGCACCGGCUAACUCCGUGCCAGCAGGCGCGGGAAUACGGAGGGUGCAAGCGUUAUCCGGAUU
rnacentral:rRNA from 1 species